ACACACACAUAGAUAAAAAAUGGACAAAACAUCAAAAUAAAUCAUACCGAUUGCAAUGCAAUUUCCUCUACUGGGUCAUAAUAGAUGUUAAGUGUCUAAAUUUUACCUUCGAAGUGGAAGAUGAAAAGAUCGAAUGCAUUUUAUGUAAACUUAUGAAAAAUCUUUCCUUUAAAAAUUCUUGUUUUAGGCUGGAUAUAAUUUAUCAAUGUGUUAAGGAAUACCCCUUUGAAUAAACUCCUAGUGACGGAUUGGGAGCAUUCCUUAUAGGGAGCACAAAUCAAGUAGAUUCAAAUGGAGAAGCUUGCAUGCGACAGAUUGUUGGAUGAAAAUCCUACCUUUUUAUGUCAAAGAUUUGAAAUGCUAAUUCAAGAAACUCCGAAGGUAUAAU
rnacentral:lncRNA from 1 species